AUUUAAUUUUGAACGGGACAGAACAAAUAGAGAAGCAUUCGGUGAAGUAGACGGAAGGAAUGAGGAAUCUGUUUGGAUUGCAAGCAAAGAUUGGGCCACAAGCUAGAGUUUGAACCACACAACAUAUCCAAGUCCAGGUGUGGGGAGCCAGCUCAGCCGACACGGGAGAGUUUCCCCAAGACCCUUCAGGGAGGAGCCAGAAGAAGCUUCAGAACGGACGGGUACAAAACUCAUUCAUGGCUUGAGUACUCACAGUCCAAUGAUUCAGCGUAUUGUUUCCCCUGUAGACAUUUCUCUUUACCUGAUGCCCCCAAGACCGUUUUCACCUCAAUUGACGGGUAUCGUAACUGGAAAAAGGCCACAAUGAAAGACAGUGGUUUCUGUUCUCAUGCCCGAUCUGAAAGCCAUGUAAAUACAAUGUUUGCAUGGGGAGAA